rnacentral:rRNA from 1 species
UACGAAGGGGGCUAGCGUUGUUCGGAAUUACUGGGCGUAAAGCGUGCGCAGGCGGCUUCUCAAGUCAGGGGUGAAAGCCCAGAGCUUAACUCUGGAAUUGCCUUUGAGACUGAGAGGCUUGAGUACGGAAGAGGUGAGUGGAAUUCCCAGUGUAGAGGUGAAAUUCGUAGAUAUUGGGAAGAACACCGGUGGCGAAGGCGGCUCACUGGCCCGUAACUGACGCUCAUGUACGACAGCGUGGGGAUCAAACAGG